rnacentral:rRNA from 1 species
UACGAGGGGGGCAAAUGUUGUUCGGAAUCACUGGGCGUAAAGGGAGCGUAGGCGGGUUUUAAGUCAGGUGUUUAAUCCCGGGGCCCAACCCCGGACAGGCACUUGAAACUGGGAAUCUUGAAUAGUGGAGAGGUCAGUGGAAUUGGGGGUGUAGCGGUGGAAUGCGUAGAUAUCGGGAGGAACACCAGUGGCGAAGGCGGCGACCUGGGCCAAUACUGACGCUGAGGUGCGAAAGCGUGGGGAGCAAACAGG